UACGGGGGGAGCAAACGUUGUUCGGAAUCACUGGGCGUAAAGGGCGCGUAGGCGGCCAGAUAAGUGGGGUGUUAAAUCUCCCGGCUCAACCGGGAACCUGCACCUCAUACUGCCUGGCUUGAGUACAGCAGAGGAGACUGGAAUUCCCGGUGUAGCGGUGAAAUGCGUAGAUAUCGUCUGGAACGCCGAAGGUGAAAACAGCUCGCUGGGGCCGCGCUGACGCUGAGACACGAAAGCCAGGGGAGCGAACGGG
rnacentral:rRNA from 1 species